rnacentral:lncRNA from 1 species
AAGGGAAUAUUAAUAAAAUCUCUUUGUUUCUCUUUCUCACAGUCCUAUAAUAAGUAUUAUGAGAUUUCUAUUCAUCAUGUAUCAUAAAUAUUAUUAGUUUUUUUUAUUAUCACCAUGUAUUCUUGACACUAUAUAUACAUUUGAAAAGAAAAGAUAAAGCAGAUGAAAAUUAAUGCUGGGAAUUUUCUUAUCAUAAUGUUAUGCUAUUUAUAACAAUAAUUCAUAUG